UGUGAGCUCGAUGAGUAGGGCGGGACACGUGGUAUCCUGUCUGAAUAUGGGGGGACCAUCCUCCAAGGCUAAAUACUCCUGACUGACCGAUAGUGAACCAGUACCGUGAGGGAAAGGCGAAAAGAACCCCGGCGAGGGGAGUGAAAAAGAACCUGAAACCGUGUACGUACAAGCAGUGGGAGCACGCUUAGGCGUGUGACUGCGUACCUUUUGUAUAAUGGGUCAGCGACUUAUAUUCUGUAGCAAGGUUAACCGAAUAGGGGAGCCGAAGGGAAACCGAGUCUUAACUGGGCGUUAAGUUGCAGGGUAUAGACCCGAAACCCGGUGAUCUAGCCAUGGGCAGGUUGAAGGUUGGGUAACACUAACUGGAGGACCGAACCGACUAAUGUUGAAAAAUUAGCGGAUGACUUGUGGCUGGGGGUGAAAGGCCAAUCAAACCGGGAGAUAGCUGGUUCUCCCCGAAAGCUAUUUAGGUAGCGCCUCGUGAAUUCAUCUCCGGGGGUAGAGCACUGUUUCGGCAAGGGGGUCAUCCCGACUUACCAACCCGAUGCAAACUGCGAAUACCGGAGAAUGUUAUCACGGGAGACACACGGCGGGUGCUAACGUCCGUCGUGAAGAGGGAAACAACCCAGACCGCCAGCUAAGGUCCCAAAGUCAUGGUUAAGUGGGAAACGAUGUGGGAAGGCCCAGACAGCCAGGAUGUUGGCUUAGAAGCAGCCAUCAUUUAAAGAAAGCGUAAUAGCUCACUGGUCGAGUCGGCCUGCGCGGAAGAUGUAACGGGGCUAAACCAUGCACCGAAGCUGCGGCAGCGACGCUGAUGCGUUGUUGGGUAGGGGAGCGUUCUGUAAGCCUGCGAAGGUGUGCUGUGAGGCAUGCUGGAGGUAUCAGAAGUGCGAAUGCUGACAUAAGUAACGAUAAAGCGGGUGAAAAGCCCGCUCGCCGGAAGACCAAGGGUUCCUGUCCAACGUUAAUCGGGGCAGGGUGAGUCGACCCCUAAGGCGAGGCCGAAAGGCGUAGUCGAUGGGAAACAGGUUAAUAUUCCUGUACUUGGUGUUACUGCGAAGGGGGGACGGAGAAGGCUAUGUUGGCCGGGCGACGGUUGUCCCGGUUUAAGCGUGUAGGCUGGUUUUCCAGGCAAAUCCGGAAAAUCAAGGCUGAGGCGUGAUGACGAGGCACUACGGUGCUGAAGCAACAAAUGCCCUGCUUCCAGGAAAAGCCUCUAAGCAUCAGGUAACAUCAAAUCGUACCCCAAACCGACACAGGUGGUCAGGUAGAGAAUACCAAGGCGCUUGAGAGAACUCGGGUGAAGGAACUAGGCAAAAUGGUGCCGUAACUUCGGGAGAAGGCACGCUGAUAUGUAGGUGAAGUCCCUCGCGGAUGGAGCUGAAAUCAGUCGAAGAUACCAGCUGGCUGCAACUGUUUAUUAAAAACACAGCACUGUGCAAACACGAAAGUGGACGUAUACGGUGUGACGCCUGCCCGGUGCCGGAAGGUUAAUUGAUGGGGUUAGCGCAAGCGAAGCUCUUGAUCGAAGCCCCGGUAAACGGCGGCCGUAACUAUAACGGUCCUAAGGUAGCGAAAUUCCUUGUCGGGUAAGUUCCGACCUGCACGAAUGGCGUAAUGAUGGCCAGGCUGUCUCCACCCGAGACUCAGUGAAAUUGAACUCGCUGUGAAGAUGCAGUGUACCCGCGGCAAGACGGAAAGACCCCGUGAACCUUUACUAUAGCUUGACACUGAACAUUGAGCCUUGAUGUGUAGGAUAGGUGGGAGGCUUUGAAGUGUGGACGCCAGUCUGCAUGGAGCCGACCUUGAAAUACCACCCUUUAAUGUUUGAUGUUCUAACGUUGACCCGUAAUCCGGGUUGCGGACAGUGUCUGGUGGGUAGUUUGACUGGGGCGGUCUCCUCCUAAAGAGUAACGGAGGAGCACGAAGGUUGGCUAAUCCUGGUCGGACAUCAGGAGGUUAGUGCAAUGGCAUAAGCCAGCUUGACUGCGAGCGUGACGGCGCGAGCAGGUGCGAAAGCAGGUCAUAGUGAUCCGGUGGUUCUGAAUGGAAGGGCCAUCGCUCAACGGAUAAAAGGUACUCCGGGGAUAACAGGCUGAUACCGCCCAAGAGUUCAUAUCGACGGCGGUGUUUGGCACCUCGAUGUCGGCUCAUCACAUCCUGGGGCUGAAGUAGGUCCCAAGGGUAUGGCUGUUCGCCAUUUAAAGUGGUACGCGAGCUGGGUUUAGAACGUCGUGAGACAGUUCGGUCCCUAUCUGCCGUGGGCGCUGGAGAACUGAGGGGGGCUGCUCCUAGUACGAGAGGACCGGAGUGGACGCAUCACUGGUGUUCGGGUUGUCAUGCCAAUGGCACUGCCCGGUAGCUAAAUGCGGAAGAGAUAAGUGCUGAAAGCAUCUAAGCACGAAACUUGCCCCGAGAUGAGUUCUCCCUGACUCCUUGAGAGUCCUGAAGGAACGUUGAAGACGACGACGUUGAUAGGCCGGGUGUGUAAGCGCAGCGAUGCGUUGAGCUAACCGGUACUAAUGAACCGUGAGGCUUAACCUU
rnacentral:rRNA from 1 species